UACGAAGGGUGCUAGCGUUGUUCGGAAUCACUGGGCGUAAAGCGCGCGUAGGCGGCUAUCCAAGUCAGAGGUGAAAUCCCUGGGCUCAACCCAGGAAUUGCCUUUGAAACUGUUUAGCUUGAGUGUCGGAGGGGAUGGCGGAAUUGCUAAUGUAGAGGUGAAAUUCGUAGAUAUUAGCAGGAACACCGGUGGCGAAGGCGGCUAUCUGGACGACAACUGACGCUGAGGCGCGAAAGCGUGGGGAUCAAACAGG
rnacentral:rRNA from 1 species